rnacentral:misc_RNA from 1 species
ACAUUCUCAACCAUUGAGGGGUUUGUUCCCUUCGAUGGCUUGGACUUGGGGGUUUGUGCCGGCCCUAAAGGUCGGCUCCCCUGAAAUGCAUUAGCUGGUUGCCCCUCUCGCGUCCACUUGGUGUGAUAGUCUUUUUGCGCCGUGGUGGAUGUGGAUGUUUCUGGGUGGCUGCUUCUAACGGUCCUUCACUUGGACAAUGAUCAUCGCCUCAGAUGUAUUGACUC